GGUCUUUUGUAGGCCCAACUUUAGGUGGCUUCAUAAAUGAGAAACUGGGUUUUGAAUGGUCUGCAGCCAUCCAAGGAGGAUUCACAUUGUUAAGUGGAUUAGCAUCUGCAAUUUAUUAUACCUAUGAAGCCAUACAAAGGAAGAGGUCCCUUCCUGGAAUUCAUCUUGGUUCAAAGCAAGAGAGGACUCUUUUACUGAAUGAAGCUUAAUGAGAUGUUUUUUCUCAUUGCCAGUUUAAAUCUAACUUCAUUUGCAAUUUAAGAACAUAAUGUGCAGCAGACCAAGCAAAUGUCAUGAAAUGUAGUUUUU